CCUACGGGUGGCUGCAGUGGGGAAUAUUGCACAAUGGGGGAAACCCUGAUGCAGCGACGCCGCGUGAGUGAAGAAGUAAUUCGUUAUGUAAAGCUCUAUCAGCAGGGAAGAAAUACUGACCUUACGGUCAGUAGACGGUACCUGAGUAAGAAGCCGCGGCUAACUACGUGCCAGCGGCAGCGGUAAUACGUAGGGGGCAAGCGUUAGCCGGAUGUACUGGGUGUAAAGGGAGCGUAGACGGUGAGCCAAGUCAGGAGUGAAAUGCCGCGGCUUAACUGCGGAACUGCAUUGGAAACUGGCGAACUAGAGUGCGGGAGAGGUAGGCGGAAUUCUUGGUGUAGCGGUGAAAUGCGUAGAGAUUAGGAGGAACACUGAUGGCGAAGGCGGCUUACUAGACCGUAACUGACGUUGAGGCUCGAAAGCGUGGGGAGCAAACAGGAUUAGAUACCCGGGUAGUC
rnacentral:rRNA from 1 species